rnacentral:rRNA from 1 species
GGCCGCGGAUUUUGAUUAGAGUUUGGGUUUAUGGGCUCAGGGAUGAUCGUGGGCGGUGUGCUUAAUACAUGCAAGUCGAACGGAGUUAAUAGCAAUAUUGAGUUAGUUCGAACGGGUGAGUAACGCGUUGGUGAUCUGCCUUGAAGUGUGAAUAACGCUCCGAAAGGAGCGCUAAUACCGCAUGUGCUCUCAAUUUUUAGAAACUUGAGAGGAAAGGAUUUAUUCGCUUCGAGAGGAGCCUGCGUCCCAUCAGCUGGUUGGUAGGGUAAAGGCCUACCAAGGCAAUGACGGGUAGGGGACCUGAGAGGGUGGCCCCCCACAAUGGAACUGAAACACGGUCCAUACACCUACGGGUGGCAGCAGUAGGGAAUAUUAGAAAUGGACGAAAGUCUGAUCUAGCAACACCGCGUGUGCGAAGAAGGCCUUCGGGUCGUAAAGCACUUUUUGGAAGGAAUAGGAAGGAAUGUACUUCCAGAAUAAGUCUCGGCUAACUACGUGCCAGCAGCCGCGGUAACACGUAGGAGGCAAACGUUAUCCGGAUUUACUGGGCGUAAAGCGCGUGUAGGUGGUUCUGUAAGUAGGGCGUGAAAGCUCCCGGCUCAACUGGGAGAUGCCGUUCUAAACUGCAGAGCUAGAGGAUGGUAGAGGGAGGUGGAAUUCCAGGUGUAGCGGUGGAAUGCGCAGAUAUCUGGAGGAACACCAGUGGCGAAGGCGGCCUCCUGGACCA